ACUCCACUCUCCUCCACGGCGGUGCCGAAGCUCAGGACGGCAACGCGAGCUCAGGCUUCAUAGACGGGACGACGGUGAUGGCAGCUCUUCCCUCUGACCUCCAUUGCAUCUCUCUCUCGACGCCUCUCCCUCAUCCCUGUUCAACCGGCACCAGGGCGGACUCCACGGAACGGCGGCGACAGGCGGGCAAGGCCUUGCAACUUCCCUC